rnacentral:misc_RNA from 1 species
GAUUAUUCAAUUUGUCAUUUAGGAAAUGGAUUAGGCAUUUCAUAUAAGGUCGCUGGAAAUGUGAUUUAAGAGUUUCAGAAUAAUUAAGGUAAUCAUAGCAUGCAUGCCAAUAAUAAUGAAUUAAACACUAAGCUUGGGGCGGUAAUCAGAGUUUACAAAUGGCGCUGUGAAUUCAUCUAAACAAGCCAUCCGAAUCCGUUCAGGUGUUGCUGGAUUAUCAAGUGGAAACCACUCGCAAUGCCCUACUUCUGCUCUUGCAGCUAUAAUGGCAUCUUUGAUGGCGAAAAAGACGGCUGAAGCCAGAAAAAAUGGAGGCUCGCCAACAGCUUUAGAUGAAUGGAUGGCCUUUACAUUUGGAUGGCCCUUUAGAAGUGACACAUUGAAUUUGAAGGGAGCAUCAUUUAUGGAAGGAAUCUUGUAGCUUCCAGGCCCACACGUAUACAAGCAGCCAGGUGGUAUCCACUUGUGAGCUAAGUCUCCCCACUUAAGUUCUUCCAAGGCUACCCACCCCAAACCUUGUAUAAAUGCUCCUUCAAUCUGUCCAACAUCAAUGGCUGGAUUGAGGGAAUAUCCAAGAUCCAAGAUAAUAUUUGCUGCCCUUGUGUGGAAAUCGCCAGUCAAUGUAUCAAUUUCAACCUCAGCAAAGGCAGCCCCAUAGGUGAAGUACCUAAAUGGGUUUCCUUUACCAGUUCUCCAAUCAAAGCCAAUCUCGGGUGUAACAUAAAAUCCAUGAGCAGAAAGGUCUAUUCGCUGAACGUAGCAUGCACUUGCCAGCUGUGAACAAUUUAAAUUAACCACCAUAUAUAACUUGUGAUAACGAAGGACCUUACUGGGAAUAAAGGCCAGAAGUAAGAUUUCAAGAACAGCCAUACAAUAGAUAAUCUAUCAAAUGGCUAUAAAAUGAUCUAAUUGCUUCCAAAUUUUCCCAGCAAGACAACUUCUUGUUCCGUAUGAUCAUAAAAUCCCAAAAAAUUAGAGAACACUUAAUGGUCAUCUUGCCAUCUGGAAACAGUUGCAUUUACAUUUAAGCAUCAGGAUAUGAUGUAUAAACAUACUUAAGUCUUUUGAUAGUUGAUUUCUAAUCAGACACUAAGGAGAUAAUCUUGCACACAUAAAAGGGUGUGAAACUAAACUUUUUCAUUGAAAGGAUAAACCCAGAAAAUUUUAUGCAGAAAUCAUGAGAAUAAACCCACCUCCGCAAAUGAGCUGAAAUUAUGUUUUGACGCAAUUGGCUCCAUUCGUGCUUUUAUCUGCUCACAGGCAUCCAAUACUGCUGCUCCAUACAUAUCAGAGCUUGCGGAAGCUGCUGUUGGUGAUGCAUUAGGUACCUUGUCGGUGCUCGUCUCUGAUAUGAACACGGAACUGAGAGGAAUAUUAAAGGCAGAAGCAGCAACUUGAGCUACCUUUGUAUGCAAACCUUGUCCCAUCUCAACUCCUCCAUGUGUAACUAAAACGGUUCCAUCUGUGUAAACAUGAACCAGAGCACCUGCCUGGUUCAUCAGCUUUGUUGUAAAGGAUAUGCCAAAUUUUGUUGGAACCAUAGCAACACCACGCUUCUUCCAGCGAUUAUGAAGAUUAAAAUGGUUAAUGUCUUCACGAGCCUUCAAAAGAUUGCAAGAUAACUUCAGUUCAUUCCAGAGCUGGGUUAGCGUACAGUAUUGAAGCUGUUGGCCGUAAUGCAGCAUGGAUCCAUCACCUUGGAAAUUGAUUUCCCUUAUCUCUUCUGGGUUUUUGUUAAGUUCUACAGCAAUUCUUUGAAUCCAAUUCUCCGUUAUAAGCAUUCCUUGAGGGCCCCCAAAUCCUCGGAAGGCAGUGUGACUGGGAAAAUUGGUAAAGCAAACUCGUCCCAGUAUUCUGAUAUUUGGUAUCUCAUAGACAUUGUCAGAAUGAAACAUGGCACGUUCAAGAACAGCGAGAGACAGAUCUAGCGAAUUCCCAGCAUUAUUGUAGAUUUUAAGAUCCAAAGCAAGGACUUUUCCCUCCUUUGUAAACCCAACCUUGUACUUUCCAAGAAAGCUAUGGCGCUGCCCAGUAAUCAUCAUGUCUAUAUCUCUGUCUAAAAUGAUUUUCACUGGCCGAUUCAACAUAUAUGAUGGGACAGAAGCUGCAGCAGCAAGGAAAGCUGAUCUUGUCUCCUUUCCACCAAAUCCACCACCAAUUCUUUUGGUUUUACAAACAACUUUUGACAUUGGAAGGCCAAGAACAUGAGCCACAUACUUCUGGUGUUUCUGAGGAGCUUGGGUAGAUGAUAUCAUAUGAACUUCAUUACCACUAUCUGUUGUCCAAACCAAGCUGCCCUGUGGCUCCAAGUAAAAGUGUUCCUGACCUCCCACUUGAACUUCCCCCUCUAUGAUUUUGUCACAUUGACCAGAUUGAAAACAGUGUUCGACAUCACCCUUUUUCAAAUACUUCUCCGAGUUAGGAUGGUAACUGUCAGCAUUGAUAGCUUCCUGUAUAGAUAAUAUUGCUGGAAGCUCUUCAUACUCCACAUAAACUUUCCUUGCUGCUAUUUUUGCAUUUUCAUGUGUAUCUGCAACAACCACUCCGAUAACCUGACCUACACAAGUGACAAACUCUGAAGCAAACAGCUCCUCGUCAUCAAUCACUGGGCCAAUGCGAUUAUCACCUGGAAUAUCUUUGGCUAAAAAUAUGCCUGCAAACCCAGGUGAAGACUUGGCUUCCGAAUCAUCUAUCUUAACGAUUCGAGCAUGAGGUUUUUUGCUCAACACUAAAGCAGCAUGCAGACCAUUGGAAGGCAUUGGCAUAUCAUCGGUAUACUCUGCCUCCCCUGUAACCUGAAGUCUUGAUGAGAGAUGAACCUCAGGAGAACCAACAGCUGUCCCGUGUUUUCUAAUUUCAUAGUCCUGACUUCCCACAACUGAUGGCCGAUGGAAUGGUUGUACAGCAGACAAAUGAGAUAUUAGUAUACUUUCGAUAGAUUUCUUCCCAUCCAUCUGAUGUGAAACCCACAAGAAAAAUUUGAAGAAGAAACUAAGGGUUAAAGAUUUCCGAAACUCCACCAUCCCACCAGGAGCAUCUUCCUUAAGCAAGAUAUCAGUUUCUAACACUUUCAAAGCACCCUCCAAAAGUUCCUGAUUCCAAUUCUUCCCAAUGAGAAAUUCUUUGGCUUUUAUUGCAGACAAAGAGAUAGGAGCUACACCACCAUAAACAAUUGAUGCAUCAGAAACCAACCACUGUUCACCUUUUUCCUCAAGAAAGACACGCAUUCCAGCAUUCACAAUUGCAAUAUCAUCAUCUCUCCUAUGAGCCUGCUUAUAUUCUUUCACAUACUCAAAAGGCCUAGUCCAUGGUAAGAAUAUUGAGAGUAAAACUUCAUCACUUGCAAGAUCUACCUUUCGAUAACCUAGGAAGAAAUUUUCUGCGAGGGUUGUUCUGAUGUUGCCUCUGCAAUCAAUGAUAUGAAACCUUGCUCUUGCAGCCAUCCAGAGAGGGUUUAAGUCUGAUAUUGGACUUGCUGUACAUAUAUUUCCCCCAACAGAAGCAACAUUUUUUAUCUGUGUCCCAGCAAACCAUUUUAAUUGUUCAAUAAAGGCCUUACAUGAAGACACUUCAUGAGCAGCCCGUUCAUUUACAACCUUUCUGAGCAUUUGCAGGAGUUCAGUCAGUCUUACUGCAGCACCAAUCUCUAAGCCGUCAUCCUUGAAAUUCAAGACAUUGAGCUCAGGUACAUGUGCAACAGAGAUCAAAACAUGAUACUGGAUUCUCUUCAACCUCAUCUCUAUUCCAACCUCAGUAUUACCUAUCAAUAGUUUUGCUUCAGGGUGUUUAGCUUUUAACUCAAGCAAAUGUUGAAGGCUCAAGGGUCGAUACCACUUAAGCCCUCCAAAUCCACUCAAACUUAGGGGGUCUAAUUUCAUCAAUAACAACUCAGGAGGAAAAAUAAGCUCUUUGUCUGUAUAUGUACUCCCAUUUACCUCACUAUAAGAGAUGGGUUCAAAACCAUCACCGCAACCUGUAUUAUGUUUGUGGUUGCCAGGACCAACUACAGUUUGUGAUUUACAUGAACAUGGUUUACCAGUUAAGGGGCACACAAAUUCAUCUCCUUGAAGGUUUAGUGUAGACUUAUCAGUGUAUAAUGCAUCAUUACUUUUUGCAAAAACUUGAAAUGCAUCAACAAUCGGCCUAUAACCAGUGCAACGGCACAAAUUUCCAGCAAGGCAUUCUUCAAUUUGCUCUUCUGUGGGUGGUGUUUUGCUUGACCUUAAUAGUGCAUACAUUGACAUGAUAAACCCAGGAGUACAAAAUCCACACUGGGAGCCAUGAGAACGUGCCAAUGAUUCUUGAAUUGGAUGCAAGCCAUUUUUGCAGCUCCCAACUCCCUCCACUGUAAUUACAUGCAUGCCUUCUAUAGAAUAGAGAGGAGCCAAGCAUGCAUUAACAGCAUAAUGCACACAUUUCUUCAUGCUCUUGUUAUAAUGAGAAACCAUAACAGUGCAAGCCCCACAACCACCUUCACCACAGCCAAGUUUUGUCCCCACCAAACCAAUGUCUCUGAGAUACUCAAGGAGGGUCAAGUGGGCCAACCCAUCAGGCAACACUCUUCGAACUCCAUUGACGUACAAGAUUGGCUCCUUCGCUGAUUCAUCUCCAAUCUGCUCCACUACUCGUACUUCGUUCUUCAAGGACCCCAUUAAAGUUUCCUUUCUGAACCCACUACCUCCACCGUCAAAUAAUAUCUCACGUUAAGAACCUCGUAUCUUGAUCCUCAGGAUUCUGAUGCGUUUGAUAAGGUUCUUUGUUUGAUCUAUUUAUUGACCUUUGGAACAUUCAACGCGGACGCACCUGCCAGCAAAAUUUUCCACACUUUAAAUUUUCCGCUUUCCACAGUUAAAAUUUUCCAAAUACGGAAGCCAUUUCUAUUGUACUUUCAGCAGGCUGCUUUUACUCU